AUACGGAGGGUGCAAGCGUUAAUCGGAAUUACUGGGCGUAAAGCGCAUGUAGGCGGACAUUUAAGUCAGGGGUGAAAUCCCGGGGCUCAACCUCGGAACUGCCUUUGAUACUGGGUGUCUAGAGUGUGGAAGAGGUAAGUGGAAUUCCGAGUGUAGAGGUGAAAUUCGUAGAUAUUGGGAGGAACACCAGUGGCGAAGGCGACUUUCGGGACUGUGUCUGACACUGAGGCGCGAAAGCCAGGGGAGC
rnacentral:rRNA from 1 species